CUGACUGCGAUGACAUUCAAGGUGUGUUCGUGCCAUUGCCGAAGUGAAAUUAUUUGGAUAAGUCUAUCUAACUUUCUAUCUUGCAUAAGUUAAAAUUGAAUUUUUGUAUGAUUCAAUCUUGAAUGAAGAGGUCUUGGGUUUCACUUAGGACUUUCUUGUUAUAUCUGUUGAUGUUCGUUUUUUAGGAUACGAGAGUAUGAUUAGACGGUAGUAGCUGUUAUUGUUGAUGGAGAUGCUAGUUUAAGUCUAGCUAGCUUUGUAUCUUGUGAAAAUUAGAAUUGAAUUUUUGUAUGAUUCGAUCAUGAAUGAAGAGGUCAUGUAUUCUGCUGAGGGCUUCCUUGGUAUAUGUUUUGCAGUUCAUGUAGCCAUAUAUCUAUCCGUUUGAGCAAAUUGCAUACAUAAUCAUGUUAAAAAAAUUCGGGAAGAUAAUAUCUUUCUUUGUCAUUUAUAGGAUACAAAAGUAUGAUUUGGAGACGGUAGUGGCUGUAAUUGUCGAUGGAGAUGCUAGCUUAAAGGUCGACACACAGUUCCUGAAACUCAAUCUGCGCCCAGGCUCUCUCUACCAGUUCAUUGGGGAACUGCAGAUUGAACCAAAUAAUGAGGCGAUUUUGGAGGCUCGAGUUGGAGAUAGCACGUCAAAAGGAGGAGAUGAGGCAGAAAGAUGAGCAGACCGAUGCUCGAUUUCAGGCUCAGCAGCGUAUGUUCGAGGAGAUAUUGGCUAGGCUUCCACCUGGACCCACUGGACCCACUCCACCCACUGGACCAUCAUCUUGAUUAUGUUGUGUUUUUGUAUUUUGAAUACUUGAAUAUUUCUAUUAUAUAUUUGUGAACACUUGAAUAUUUUGUUAAGUUAUGACUAUUCGAAUGCUAAUUUAAAUUUCA